GAGGGUAGGUUUUUUUCCUUUGGUUUGAUUUUGCUGGGCCGAGGAGGAGAGCACCAAGCACGGCUGCGUCGGUGCCUGGAGCCGGCCCGCACAGUGCCCAGGGGCUGUUUGCACAGCGGUGUCUCUAGCCGAACGCAAGCUGCCUUGGGACUUGGACGGGGCCUUCGUGGUCACCGCAUCCCAGGCUCCGCUUUAAGGGCGAGGCCGACAGGGAGCGGUGCUUCCCUCCUGGUGGGGCUGGGCCGAAGUAUCAGGUCCGCUGACUCUCCAGACCGUGUCGGAAGGGCCGCUCGUUCUUUAAAGAAUAGUCGCUGCUGCGUUAAUAGCAUCAGCACCUGUUGGUUCAGCUUCCGCAAGGGAGAAGCUAUUAAUUCCUCCUUCAUCACAGCCGCAUCUCGGGUGGCGUGGACCCCGUUUUCCUCCUCGCUGCAGCUGUCUGCUCCCGUAAGGCACGCGUCGAACGGACGCGCCUCCCGGCCUCACCCCAGCAGUAAGCGGCCGCGGCCGAAGGAGGGAGGGGAGAAUCCGACCAGACCCGCCAGGGGGGGCCACGUUGGCGGCGUUGACCCUGGAGGCCCCUCGUUGCCCUGGCGCAGGCCCGGGGCGCGCCCUGCACACCUCCCCGUGGGCGGCCUGGGGCGCGCCGAGCCCGCACGAGCCGCGGGAGGCGGCGGAGACGCUGGGCCUGAAACGGAAGCGAUUCUAAUCCUUCCUUUAGGGGAAGUUUUGAGGAUCGGACCGAAAGCCGGGGCCCUUCCCCAGCCCGGUGCGGCCGGCGCCCCUGCCCCGGCGGCUCCUCCGCGCCCUCCCGCGGCCCCGCGGGCGUCGGAAGGCCCGGGGCUCGCGGCGUCUCGGCGCGGCCGGCGGCGGAGGAAGGAGGGCGGCCCGCGCAGGCGCAUGCGCAGCCCCCGCCGCCGGCCCCUCUUAAGAGCGCCGCGCAGCGCCCGGGCGAGCGCAGUGGGAGCUGGCGCGGAGCCGGGAGCCGGGCGCCGGGGCUGUGCGGGCGGCCGCCGCGCUCCGCUUCCCGCUUCCCGCUUCCCGCUUCCCGCUUCCCGCUUCCCGCUUCCCCGCGGCCGCGAGGGCCGAGACCUCGUGGGAGGCUCCGGCCCGUGCGCCCCUCCCGAGGGAAGCGGCGGCCCGGGCGGGCGGGCCGGACGGAGGCUGCCGGGCUCCCACGGGAGCGAGCUGCCGCCGGAGAGGCGGGGCCGAGGGCCGGGGGCCGGGGGCCGGGGGCGAGCCGCCCGCCUGGACCCGCGCCCAGCAGCAGCCGCCCGGCCGGCUCCCGGGGCUGCGCCGAGGGCACUGGCCCGCCGCCCCGCGGACGCCCCGCGGACGGGAGCGCUGCCCCGGCGGCGCGGCCGGAGCCAUGCGGACCGAGCUCGGGGCUGGGCGGGCUGA
rnacentral:lncRNA from 1 species